rnacentral:rRNA from 1 species
UAGCUACAGGCUUAACACAUGCAAGUCGAGGGGCAGCAUGGUCUUAGCUUGCUAAGGCCGAUGGCGACCGGCGCACGGGUGAGUAACGCGUAUCCAACCUGCCUUACACUCUUGGACAGCCUUCUGAAAGGGAGAUUAAUACAAGAUGUUAUCAUGAGUAAGCAUUUUCGCAUGAUUAAAGGUUUACCGGUGUAAGAUGGGGAUGCGUUCCAUUAGAUAGUAGGCGGGGUAACGGCCCACCUAGUCUUCGAUGGAUAGGGGUUCUGAGAGGAAGGUCCCCCACAUUGGAACUGAGACACGGUCCAAACUCCUACGGGAGGCAGCAGUGAGGAAUAUUGGUCAAUGGACGAGAGUCUGAACCAGCCAAGUAGCGUGAGGGAUGAAGGUUCUAUGGAUUGUAAACUUCUUUUAUACGGGAAUAAACGAAUCCACGUGUGGAUUUUUGCAUGUACCGUAUGAAUAAGGAUCGGCUAACUCCGUGCCAGCAGCCGCGGUAAUACGGAGGAUCCGAGCGUUAUCCGGAUUUAUUGGGUUUAAAGGGAGCGUAGAUGGGUUGUUAAGUCAGUUGUGAAAGUUUGCGGCUCAACCGUAAAAUUGCAAUUGAUACUGGCAGUCUUGAGUACAGUUGAGGUAGGCGGAAUUCGUGGUGUAGCGGUGAAAUGCUUAGAUAUCACGAAGAACUCCGAUUGCGAAGGCAGCUUACUAACCUGUAACUGACAUUGAUGCUCGAAAGUGUGGGUAUCAAACAGGAUUAGAUACCCUGGUAGUCCACACGGUAAACGAUGAAUACUCGCUGUAGGCGAUAUACAGUCUGCGGCCAAGCGAAAGCAUUAAGUAUUCCACCUGGGGAGUACGCCGGCAACGGUGAAACUCAAAGGAAUUGACGGGGGCCCGCACAAGCGGAGGAACAUGUGGUUUAAUUCGAUGAUACGCGAGGAACCUUACCCGGGCUUAAAUUGCAACCGAAUAUGGCGGAAACGCUAUAGCUAGCAAUAGCGGUUGUGAAGGUGCUGCAUGGUUGUCGUCAGCUCGUGCCGUGAGGUGUCGGCUUAAGUGCCAUAACGAGCGCAACCCUUGCCGAUAGUUACUAACAGGUCAUGCUGAGGACUCUGUCGGGACUGCCAUCGUAAGAUGUGAGGAAGGUGGGGAUGACGUCAAAUCAGCACGGCCCUUACGUCCGGGGCUACACACGUGUUACAAUGGGGGGUACAGAGGGCUGCUACCACGCAAGUGGAUGCCAAUCCCAAAAACCUCUCUCAGUUCGGAUUGAAGUCUGCAACCCGACUUCAUGAAGCUGGAUUCGCUAGUAAUCGCGCAUCAGCCACGGCGCGGUGAAUACGUUCCCGGGCCUUGUACACACCGCCCGUCAAGCCAUGGGAGCCGGGGGUACCUGAAGUGCGUAACCGCAAGGAGCGCCCUAGGGUAAAACUGGUGACUGGGGCU